UGCGACUCAAUUCAAAGGAAGAAAUUCAUCCUUACAUGGUGAAAGUUGUUGGUUCGAAUCCGACAGUCGCAA
rnacentral:tRNA from 1 species